rnacentral:rRNA from 1 species
GGUGUAAAAAAUGAGCUUGCGUCCUAUUAGCUAGUUGGUGAGGUAAUGGCUCACCAAGGCUACGAUGGGUAGGGGUUCUUAGUGGAAGGUCCCCCACACUGGCACUGAGAUACGGGCCAGACUCCUACGGGAGGCAGCAGUAGGGAAUAUUGGUCAAUGGGCGCAAGCCUGAACCAGCCAUGCCGCGUGCAGGAUGAAGGCUCUCUGAGUUGUAAACUGCUUUUGUACAGGAGCAAAAAAAUCCCUGCGGGGGUUCUUGAGAGUACUGUAAGAAUAAGCACCGGCUAAUUCCGUGCCAGCAGCCGCGGUAAUACGGGAGGUGCAAGCGUUAUCCGGUUUUAUUGGGUUUAAAGGGUGCGUAGGCGGCUUAUUAAGUCAGUUGUGAAAUCCUAGUGCUUAACGCUAGAACUGCGAUUGAUACUAUUAGGCUUGAGUUAAAGAAGAGGU